AGGCAGAAGUUAGAACAUAUGUGUUGUCUUCAAUUGUAUUCCCCAGAUCCUCAUUCUUACCAUGACUUUGGCUAGGAAAUAAGAUAUUCAUUAUUUUAAGAAGAAUUGAAUGGAGUUGAGCGGCGAGCAUCAGGAGCAUAAAACAGUUUGAUAUGACAAAGAGACAAGAUCAAGUAGAGGGACAGGCUUUCUGUACUGAGAAGAAUGGCUUUUCCUGUAUGACAACACUUUGGGACUGAAAAUAACAAUGGCUGAAAACUUGAGUCUCUCUCUGAACACGGACAGAUGCUACAUCACCUUAAGGGCUGCUCCUGAUGUCCUCCAGGGUGGCCGUGAGAACUUCCACAUCAUCCAGUAUCCGUCCUUCUUGAACCAGUUUACCGCAUUGCAAAGGUGUCAUUAGCAUGACCGCUUCACUGACGUUCUAACAUCACAAUCAUGUAUCCACAGCAAGACUAAAAGCAACUCAUGCUCUCCCCUUAUAGUGGGCUUCGAUGAUCGUCUUUCUGAGCCAAGGACAGCAACUGUCAAUCCCUUUCAACCGGAUUUGACUCAGUCGCUGAACCAGUGCAGAGAAAGCGAAGACGGUCACUGUACCAGAGAGUGUAUCAUUUUGACAAGACAUCUAUCUCUAGCAGCUGAUUGUCUCCUCACGUCAUGGACAGUGUGCAUCAGU
rnacentral:sRNA from 1 species